AAGUCGUAACAAGGUUUCCGUAGGUGAACCUGCGGAAGGAUCAUUCUUGUAUAUCAUCAUCAAUUCUGAUGAAUUCAACUCUGUGCACUAUAUAACCAUUGACUGUCGAUUUGGUUAGAAGGCGGCGUGGGCAUCUGUUUACGUGCGCGCUACCGGUCGACUACUCUGUUUACGUACCUGAUAAAACUUUUAUACUUAUAUUAAAAUUGUAAUUAAAAUACAACUUUUAGCAACGGAUCUCUAGGCUCUC
rnacentral:misc_RNA from 1 species